rnacentral:rRNA from 2 species
AUAGGGGAGCCGAAGGGAAACCGAGUCUUAACUGGGCGUUAAGUUGCAGGGUAUAGACCCGAAACCCGGUGAUCUAGCCAUGGGCAGGUUGAAGGUUGGGUAACACUAACUGGAGGACCGAACCGACUAAUGUUGAAAAAUUAGCGGAUGACCUGUGGCUGGGGGUGAAAGGCCAAUCAAACCGGGAGAUAGCUGGUUCUCCCCGAAAGCUAUUUAGGUAGCGCCUCGUGAAUUCAUCUCCGGGGGUAGAGCACUGUUUCGGCUAGGGGGCCAUCCCGGCUUACCAACCCGAUGCAAACUGCGAAUACCGGAGAAUGUUAUCACGGGAGACACACGGCGGGUGCUAACGUCCGUCGUGAAGAGGGAAACAACCCAGACCGCCAGCUAAGGUCCCAAAGUCAUGGUUAAGUGGGAAACGAUGUGGGAAGGCCCAGACAGCCAGGAUGUUGGCUUAGAAGCAGCCAUCAUUUAAAGAAAGCGUAAUAGCUCACUGGUCGAGUCGGCCUGCGCGGAAGAUGUAACGGGGCUAAACCAUGCACCGAAGCUGCGGCAGCGACACU